UCAAUAUGUAUUGUUCUAGUAAAUCAAAGAGUAAAAGAGUAUAUUGUUAGAUCUGAACAUAGCUUGAAAGUUUGAAUGAAAUGAAAUUAUUGUAAGAGUUAGAUGAAAAUUUGAACUUUGAUUUGGCUCAUGCUAGGGUGAGAGAGCCUAUCAUAUCUCUCACCAAUGGGCAGCUGUUAAGGGCCUUUAGAUUAAAAGGUCUAUAGAGCUUAUGUUAAGCUUUCCAUAUCAGAAUAUUUU
rnacentral:lncRNA from 1 species